rnacentral:rRNA from 1 species
UACGAAGGGGGCUAGCGUUGUUCGGAAUCACUGGGCGUAAAGCGCACGCAGGCGGAUUGAUAAGUUAGGGGUGAAAUCCCGGAGCUCAACUUCGGAAUUGCCUUUGAUACUGUCAGUCUCGAGUCCGGGAGAGGUGAGUGGAAUUCCUAGUGUAGAGGUGAAAUUCGUAGAUAUUAGGAAGAACACCAGUGGCGAAGGCGGCUCACUGGCCCGGUACUGACGCUCAUGUGCGAAAGCGUGGGGAGCAAACAGG